CCAAUAGCGUAUAUUAAAGUUGUUGCAGUUAAAAAGCUCGUAGUUGAAUUUCGGGAUCAGUUGGUCGGUCGUGCCUCGGUACGUACUGGUCAAAUUGAUUCCUACCUUCUGACGAACCACGAUGUCAUUAAUUUGGUGUCGCGGGAAAUCAGGACUGUUACUUUGAAAAAAUUAGAGUGUUUAAAGCAGGCUCGCGCUUGAAUACAUUAGCAUGGAAUAAUGAAAUAGGACGUUUGAUUCUAUUUUGUUGGUUUCUAGGAUCGACGUAAUGAUUAAUAGUGAUAGUUGGGGGCAUUAGUAUUCAAUUGUCAGAGGUGAAAUUCUUGGAUUUAUUGAAGACUAACUACUGCGAAAGCAUUUGCCAAGGAUGUUUUCAUUAAUCAAGAACGAAAGUUAGGGGAUCGAAGACGAUCAGAUACCGUCGUAGUCUUAACCAUAAACUAUGCCGACUAGGGAUCGGAUGAUGUUAAUUUUUUAAUGACUCAUUCGGCGCCUUACG
rnacentral:rRNA from 1 species